GUCAAGGAUGGCUUAGACCUACAAGGGAUGCACAACCUCCAAAAUAUGACGACCAUAUAUCAGGGUCCGGAGUAGAGCAUACUAUGGAAAAAGCUAAAAAAUUAUUACCAAAAGAAGAAGAAACUGUCUUGAACAAUGAAAAUUCAUAAUUUAUAUAUCUCUAUAUAUCUAAAUUAUUGAAAUAAAUUAUUAUCUUAUUUAAACACUAAACACUAAUUAAAACAAAAAUUGUUUGUGAUUAUUGCA